UAGCUCAGUUGGUAGAGCAUGGUGUUUGCAACGCCAGGGUUGUGGGUUCUUUUCCCAC
rfam:Salmo salar isolate Sally breed double haploid chromosome ssa06, whole genome shotgun sequence.